GAGUCUCCACUUUGGCACUGGGGGCAGUAUCAAAAAAGUGGGUGCUAUCGGCAGAAGAUAUAUCUAGCCCAGUGAGCAUGGCUACAUCGGCAAGGGUAGGAGAAGCAGGGUCGUGGCCAAAAACAAAAGCAUUGAGAGUGUCUGACCAAAAGUAGGAUGCAGCUAUCAGCAGUGACUCGUUCCUGUGCAUAUCGGCAAUGGAUAGCCUAAUGCAUUGGGCUAGCUUCCUCUCACCCCACUGGACUUCAUAAGAAUUGCUGACCCUCAAGAACCAGUCUUUCCACCCUACGGUAGGGCUGG
rnacentral:lncRNA from 1 species